rnacentral:rRNA from 1 species
CCUACGGGUGGCAGCAGUAGGGAAUCUUCCACAAUGGACGAGAGUCUGAUGGAGCAACGCCGCGUGAGUGAAGAAGGGUUUCGGCUCGUAAAGCUCUGUUGGUAGUGGAGUAAGAUAGGGGUCGUAACUGUCCUUUAUUUGACGGUAAUUACUUAGAAAGUCACGGCUAACUACGUGCCAGCCGCCGCGGUAAUACGUAGGUGGCAAGCGUUGUCCGGAUUUAUUGGGCAUAAAGCGAGUGCAGGCGGGUCAAUAAGUCUGAUGUGAAAGCCUUCGGCUCAACCGGAGAAUUGCAUCAGAAACUGUUGAACUUGAGUGCAGAAGAGGAGAGUGGAACUCGAGGUGUAGCGGUGGAAUGCGUAGAUAUAUGGAAGAGCACCAGUGGCGAAGGCGGCUCUCUGGUCUGCAACUGACGCUGAGGCUCGAAAGCAUGGGUAGCGAACAGGAUUAGAUACCCCGGUAGUC